rnacentral:rRNA from 1 species
AGCUUGCUACUUUUGCCGGCGAGCGGCGGACGGGUGAGUAAUGCCUGGGGAUCUGCCCAGUCGAGGGGGAUAACUACUGGAAACGGUAGCUAAUACCGCAUACGCCCUACGGGGGAAAGCAGGGGACCUUCGGGCCUUGCGCGAUUGGAUGAACCCAGGUGGGAUUAGCUAGUUGGUGAGGUAAUGGCUCACCAAGGCGACGAUCCCUAGCUGGUCUGAGAGGAUGAUCAGCCACACUGGAACUGAGACACGGUCCAGACUCCUACGGGAGGCAGCAGUGGGGAAUAUUGCACAAUGGGGGAAACCCUGAUGCAGCCAUGCCGCGUGUGUGAAGAAGGCCUUCGGGUUGUAAAGCACUUUCAGCGAGGAGGAAAGGUUGGUAGCUAAUAACUGCCAGCUGUGACGUUACUCG